UACAGAGAGUGCGAACGUUGUUCGGAAUUACUGGGCUUAAAGCGCACGUAGGCGGCGCCGCAAGUGCGGGGUGAAAUCCCACGGCUUACCCGUGGAACUGCCUUGCAGACUGUGGUGCUAGAGGAUGGUAGGGGAGAGCGGAACUCCUGGUGGAGCGGUGAAAUGCGCAGAUAUCAGGAAGAACACCUAUGGCGAAGGCAGCUCUCUGGGACGGUACUGACGCUGAGACGCGAAAGCGUGGGGAGCGAACAGG
rnacentral:rRNA from 1 species